UACGGAGGGUGCAAGCGUUGUCCGGAAUCACUGGGCGUAAAGGGCGCGUAGGCGGCCUGGUAAGUAGGGGGUGAAAUCCUGCGGCUUAACCGCAGGGCUGCCUUCUAAACUGUCAGGCUUGAGCACGGUAGAGGCAGAUGGAAUUCCCGGUGUAGCGGUGGAAUGCGUAGAGAUCGGGAAGAACAUCAGUGGCGAAGGCGGGUCUCUGGGCCGAUACUGACGCUGAGGAGCGAAAGCGUGGGGAGCGAACAGG
rnacentral:rRNA from 1 species